GGGGUUGUACUGGUUUCGACAGGGAUUUAGAAGUCCCGGCAGCCAUCCGUGGUCCGGAUCCACGUAAAAAGUCGGAUUAAAUAUAAACGCUAAAGAAGAAAAAUUAGCACUCGCUGCCUAAGGGCGGCUGUCGACCCGAAGAUCAUCCGCUGUUUUCGGUUUUCGGCAUCAUAAGCAGGCGGAGAACGUUCUUCCCAAAGCUUUGCGGGUUGAAACGAAUCAUGAAGCUACCAAUUCCCUGAGCCUGUCUUUGGGCGCCCGGAUGAGGGAAUCUUAAAGCAAAGACUGUGAUGGAAGAUACCGGUAUGGAAGAGUCUUUGGACGCGGGUUCGAUUCCCGCCAGCUCCAUAA
rnacentral:tmRNA from 1 species